UACGAAGGGGGCUAGCGUUGUUCGGAAUUACUGGGCGUAAAGCGCACGUAGGCGGAUUGUUAAGUUAGAGGUGAAAUCCCGGAGCUCAACUCCGGAACUGCCUUUAAUACUGGCAAUCUUGAGUCCGAGAGAGGUGAGCGGAACUCCUAGUGUAGAGGUGGGAUUCGUAGAUAUUAGGAAGAACACCAGUGGCGAAGGCGGCUCACUGGCUCGGUACUGACGCUGAGGUGCGAAAGCGUGGGGAGCAAACAGG
rnacentral:misc_RNA from 1 species